GGAUCAUUACCGAGUUGAUUCGAGCUCCGGCUCGACUCUCCCACCCAAUGUGUACCUACCUCUGUUGCUUUGGCGGGCCGCGGUCCUCCGCACCGGCGCCCUUCGGGGGGCUGGCCAGCGCCCGCCAGAGGACCAUAAAACUCCAGUCAGUGAACUUCGCAGUCUGAAAAACAAGUUAAUAAACUAAAACUUUCAACAACGGAUCUCUUGGUUCUGGCAUCGAUGAAGAACGCAGCGAAAUGCGAUAAGUAAUGUGAAUUGCAGAAUUCAGUGAAUCAUCGAAUCUUUGAACGCACAUUGCGCCCCUUGGUAUUCCGAGGGGCAUGCCUGUUCGAGCGUCAUUUCAACCCUCAAGCUCUGCUUGGUAUUGGGCCCCGUCCUCCACGGACGCGCCUUAAAGACCUCGGCGGUGGCGUCUUGCCUCAAGCGUAGUAGAAAACACCUCGCUUUGGAGCGCACGGCGUCGCCCGCCGGACGAACCUUUGAAUUAUUUCUCAAGGUUGACCUCGGAUCAGGUAGGGAUACCCGCUGAACUUAAGCAUAUCAAUAAGCGGAGGAA
rnacentral:rRNA from 1 species